rnacentral:rRNA from 1 species
ACUCAAAGGAAUAGACGGGGGUCCGCACAAGCGGUGGAACAUGUGGUUUAAUUCGAUACUACGCGAGGAACCUUACCUAGGCUUGACAUGUAUGUGAUCGCUGUAGAAAUACAGCUUUCUAGGCUUCGGUCUAGACAGAUACACAGGUGCUGCAUGGCUGUCGUCAGCUCGUGUCGUGAGAUGUUGGGUUAAGUCCUUUAACGAGCGCAACCCUUGCCGUCAGUUGCUAUUUGCGUAAGCAAAGCACUCUGAUGGGACUGCCUGGGAAACCAGGAGGAAGGUGGGGAUGACGUCAAGUCCGCAUGGUCCUUAUGCCUAGGGCAACACACGUGUUACAAUGGCCAGAACAGAGGGCUGCAAGGCUGCAAAGCGGAGCAAAUCCCUAAAUCUGGUCUAAGUUCGGAUUGAGGUCUGCAACUCGACCUCAUGAAGUUGAAAUCGCUAGUAAUCGCGCAUCAGAACGGCGCGGUGAAUACGUUCUCGGGCCUUGUACACACCGCCCGU